AGCGAACGCUGGCGGCAGGCCUAAUACAUGCAAGUCGAACGGCCCUUCGGGGCAGUGGCGGACGGGUGAGUAACACGUGGGAACGUGCCCUUUGGUACGGAACAACUGAGGGAAACUUCAGCUAAUACCGUAUGUGCCCUUCGGGGGAAAGAUUUAUCGCCAUUGGAGCGGCCCGCGUUGGAUUAGCUAGUUGGUGGGGUAAAGGCCCACCAAGGCUACGAUCCAUAGCUGGUCUGAGAGGAUGAUCAGCCACACUGGGACUGAGACACGGCCCAGACUCCUACGGGAGGCAGCAGUAGGGAAUCUUGCGCAAUGGGCGAAAGCCUGACGCAGCCAUGCCGCGUGAAUGGUGAAGGUCUUAGGAUUGUAAAAUUCUUUCACCGGGGAAGAUAAUGACGGUACCCGGAGAAGAAGCCCCGGCUAACUUCGUGCCAGCCGCCGCGGUAA
rnacentral:rRNA from 1 species